UGUAGUAAUACAAGGCAGACGGCUCAGUAACGCGUAGUCAACCUACCCUAUGGACGGGGAUAACCUCGGGAAACUGAGAAUAAUACCCGAUAGAACAUUAUGCCUGGAAUGGUUUAUGUUUCAAAUAAUUUAUUGCCGUAGGAUGGGACUGCGGCCUAUCAGUUUGUUGGUGAGGUAAUGGCCCACCAAGACUAUUACAGGUACGGGCUCUGAGAGGAGUAGCCCGGAGAUGGGUACUGAGACACGGACCCAGGCCCUAUGGGGCGCAGCAGGCGAGAAAACUUUGCAAUGUGCGAAAGCACGACAAGGUUAAUCCGAGUGGUUUCUGCUAAAGGAACCUUUUGUCAGUCCUAGAAACACUGAUGAAUAAGGGGUGGGCAAGUUCUGGUGUCAGCCGCCGCGGUAAAACCAGCACCUCAAGUGGUCAGGAUGAUUAUUGGGCCUAAAGCAUCCGUAGCCUGCUUUGUUAGUUCUCGGUUAAAUCCAUACGCUCAACGUAUGGGCUGCCGGGAAUACUGCAAAGCUAGGGAGUGGGAGAGGUAGACGGUACUCGGUAGGAAGGGGUAAAAUCCUUUGAUCUAUUGAUGACCACCUGUGGCGAAGGCGGUCUACCAGAACACGUCCGACGGUGAGGGAUGAAAGCUGGGGGAGCAAACCGGAUUAGAUACCCGGGUAGUCCCAGCUGUAAACUAUGCAAACUCAGUGAUGCAUUGGCUUGAUGCCAAUGCAGUGCUGCAGGGAAGCCGUUAAGUUUGCCGCCUGGGAAGUACGUACGCAAGUAUGAAACUUAAAGGAAUUGGCGGGGGAGCACCACAA
rnacentral:rRNA from 1 species